rfam:Dipodomys ordii contig_62903, whole genome shotgun sequence.
CCAUAUAGCCAUACCACCAUGAAUGCACCCAGUCUCACCUGAUCUGAGAAGCUAAGUAGGGUCAGGUUUGGUUAGUACUUAGAUGGGAGACCACCUGGGAAGGAAACUAUUCUCCAGAGC